UGGCGGCAGGCCUAACACAUGCAAGUCGAGCGGUAGAGAGAAGCUUGCUUCUCUUGAGAGCGGCGGACGGGUGAGUAAUGCCUAGGAAUCUGCCUGGUAGUGGGGGAUAACGUUCGGAAACGGACGCUAACACCGCAUACGUCCUACGGGAGAAAGCAGGGGACCUUCGGGCCUUGCGCUAUCAGAUGAGCCUAGGUCGGAUUAGCUAGUUGGUGAGGUAAUGGCUCACCAAGGCGACGAUCCGUAACUGGUCUGAGAGGAUGAUCAGUCACACUGGAACUGAGACACGGUCCAGACUCCUACGGGAGGCAGCAGUGGGGAAUAUUGGACAAUGGGCGAAAGCCUGAUCCAGCCAUGCCGCGUGUGUGAAGAAGGUCUUCGGAUUGUAAAGCACUUUAAGUUGGGAGGAAGGGUUGUAGAUUAAUACUCUGCAAUUUUGACGUUACCGACAGAAUAAGCACCGGCUAACUCUGUGCCAGCAGCCGCGGUAAUACAGAGGGUGCAAGUGUUAAUCGGAAUUACUGGGCGUAAAGCGCGCGUAGGUGGUUUGUUAAGUUGGAUGUGAAAUCCCCGGGCUCAACCUGGGAACUGCAUUCAAAACUGACUGACUAGAGUAUGGUAGAGGGUGGUGGAAUUUCCUGUGUAGCGGUGAAAUGCGUAGAUAUAGGAAGGAACACCAGUGGCGAAGGCGACCACCUGGACUAAUACUGACACUGAGGUGCGAAAGCGUGGGGA
rnacentral:rRNA from 1 species